ACUGCGUGGGCGGAACCAAGAGCCUGGCGGGGGGUUCUCCUGAAUGGCGGUUCUCCCAGAACCUCCAGAGAUGUCACAGGCCCAGCACUGUGGCUCGUGGCUGACCGCGCCCUGGAGGGUCUCGCUGUGUUUAUCCUUGUGAGGUCCUUCUACAGAGCUUUCAAGGAAGACAGAGUUCAGCCUGUUUAUUGGGAAGACUUUAAUCCUGCUCAAGACAUCUACUGUGUCACCGUACCACUGUGGCCCAGCGCCUGGUGGAGUGAAUCCAGACCCCCAGGGGUGUCCCCUCCCCGCCUUUCUCCUGGUGUCUAGGGGCACCCAGAAACCCUCACCCCAGAUUAGACCAGCUCGUUGGCAACAUCCCUGAGACAGAAGAGAGACACAGAGAGAAGAGGCACAGAGGAGCCGGCCAUGGAGCGAUACAGCAGAAGCUGGAGGCGACGGGAGGAUCCUGGCCCAGAGCCUCGGGAGGGAGUGGGGGCCGUGUUCCAGAAGCCUGAGAGUCCUGCGUGUUGUUCUGAGCCCCUAAGGCUGGGGUAGCUUGUUCCAGCAGUCAUGGGAAACUGACACAUCCCAAACACAGCAGCACGAGAACAUAGGACUGAGACACCAUCCCCAUCACGCCCCAACACACGAAGACUGACGGUGGCGGGUGCUGCACAUCUCAGCCGGAGCUCUGAAGGCAUUUAGCUGAGCGCUGGCCUGCACCUGGAGAGAGUGAGAGACACCAGCCUCCACUGCCAGGAAGGCCCAGGGUCCUCAGGGACCAAGACGCAGGAGACGGCCGCUGCCAGGGUCCUCGGGACUUCUGUGUGGCCUUCGCUACCGGAGCCCUGAGGCGCCAUCCCCAUGUGCCCUUCGGGCUGGUCCAGGAGGAGGCCCUGCGGCGGCCACAGACUGGGGGGACAAAGCCCCAGGAACUCAGAACCUUGUGGGUUUUGGAAGAGGAGCCGCGCAGCAAGGUCCCGACGCCUGCAGGGAGCUGAACGGGGAGCCGCGCGAGGAAGGGAGUGCAGCAGACCCAGUACGCAAAUGCUGACCC